UUAAUUUAUUGGAAAAGCCAUAAAUUCUCUCGUGUAACUUGUUACGAAAAGUCACUUACACGCUUAUACUAUUGUGACGACCUAUUACACACCUGAAUUAGUGAACUUAUUUCAACCCUGACGCACAUACAAUCAGUCACAUGAUGAGAAAGUGCUUCAUCACCAUGUCACUGUCAUAUCAAUAAUUACGUCAGAUUUUUAAAAAAAAAAUCCAUGUCACCAAUUUCUUCUUCUUCCCUAUUCACCAUCAAACCCGCCACUAAAUCACUACCAUUGUUGCUAUUAUCAUCGAGCUCACUUCUCCACCAUCAUUGAUUUCACCACCGACAAUCAAAUUCACCAACGUAACCUUCCCACAACCACUGUCAUCAUAAAAAAUUGAUAACAAACUUCAUAAAUUAAACUAAAUUCAUCAUCAAAAUCAUAUCACUAUCAUUGAAAUUCAUCACAAUCAUAAUCAUAAAUUCACCAUCCACAUCAAAAUCACUAAUUUCAUUGUCAUCAUCGAAAUUAAAAUUUAUGCUACCACUAAUUUUUCACUCAUCUCCAAACCCACCACAAAUAAUUAUCACAAUAUACAAAUUUUACUCAAGCUCAAAGCGGAGAAUUGUGAAAACGUACAAUAUCUAUUUGCAGAUAUUUUGAACAACUUCGAUCUUUGCGAUGAUUUUUAUCGUGUAAUGUUAUUUCUAUUUUCCAUCGAUAAUUUAUCAUAAAAAAUAAUUAUUUUUCAGGUUAGCUAUAACAAAAGAGUGUUUGUGAGGAGAAAAAAAUGGAGAAAGAAGAAAGGUAAGGGUAGCACGAAAGAGAAGGGUGGGGGAUGGAAAAAA
rnacentral:lncRNA from 1 species